CCCAACUCAGGAUCUCACCUGGAGAGUUUCCAGUACUCUACCAGUCUGGGCUAUGGGAGGGAGAGUCAGCAGAGGCCUACCCAUUCCAUUCCUAGCCUGAACAGUGGCUAGCGAGUGGAAGGCAAUCUGCUACAAAU
rnacentral:snoRNA from 1 species